UCUCAGCUAUCCGAGCUUCUGGGUUAUUUCAGGUGAUAAAUCACGGCAAAAGAGAAAAAAAGAAAAAAGGUAUGUGUGACAUACUUAGGUUUCAGGCUCCUCCUUCCCACCCGAAAUGCAUCUUAACACUGCCUUCUUUGAUCCUAACGGUAACUCCAAGGACGCACCUUAUUCCUACCUAACAUGUGUUGAGGUUUUAUUAUAGAUGCCCAACCUGGAGGUCAGAUAUUCUGGGCUGGCUUUAGUAGCGGCAUAAGGAAGCCUGCUAGAGGGGACGCAGCAUGUAAAUACAUCGAAGAGAAAAGUAGGGUAAACCACAAGCUGAUUAUAAUUAGUCUGAGGAAAUGACUUUCUGUACUCUAGAAAUUAGCAUACUAGAAAUACAGAUAUUUUCUGUGCCUUCAUCUGUUACAUUUUGGAAAAAAAAGAUUCUAGUCUUGUUUGUUGUCCACUAAUAUUUAAAGUAAACCUUUUUUCCCCCCAACAAAGCUCAUAGGAAAUUAUAUGAAUUUGCUUCAGUUUUGGAUUGAUUUUAGUUCAAGUCUACUUUGUAAAAACAGGAUUUUGUUGUACCAGUCACAUCAGAGAGGUGAAAAGCAAAAACCACGCCUCAGCUAAAAGUCACUCCUGGGGAAUCUAGAGCCAUGCUAUCUUAUUUGUGAUUUAAAUGAGUUUCAGCAGACUUGACCUUUUCAAGGCUGUGAUAUGACAUGACUCCCGGGGUGAAGAGAUGGGAACAAUCCCUAUGGAAAUACUGUACGGGCAGAGGAGAGAAGUCCAAGAGAGCUCACCAUCCCUUAUGAUAAACAAGGCAGGAGUCUACCCAAGUUCGUCACCUAUUCUAGGGCCUUACCAGACUUCAGUCUCUGCGGCCUGGAUUGGGAAGUUGCCACCAAGUGCUGGGAAGGAUUCGGGGACUCUGGGGAGGAGCCGGGCCAAGGAUAUUCUGCUCCUAACCACAGGAACAUGGGUUGCUGUGGGCUUGCGCUGCUCGGGUAAACCCUGAAACUCUGGAGAGCAUCCUCUGAUAUCUAUAGCUACUGACAAGAAUCAUGGAGUAAGAGAAAGAACUGAUGGAUGGACCAGUGGCCCACUGGUAUUGACCAAGUGUCAAAGGAACGGGAGGAAAGCUCCCAGAAAGUUAGGUGGACCCUCUGUGGCAAUCUCACAGGAGACAAAGAUGCUCUGAUGAUGUUGGAAAGCCAGCCCAGGUCGAGCAGCCUGAGACCAGGCUAGACAUGAGAAUUCUUGGAAUUUUGUGAAAUCUCUUUCAAGUACAACUUUGUGGUGGUUGUCAUCUGUAAAACAAGGUUGUGAAGACCCUAGAAUGUUGACGCGUGGAAAACUGAUCUUUUUGAAGUGGAUAUAAAUUACCUGGUGAGCUUGCAGUCUGUGCCAACAUCACUACAGAACCAGGCUAUAGACUAAAGCAAGAGGGGCUGAACUUAAGAGCGCCGAGGAGCUCUGUCCUUGAUCUUGUCCCGCCAUCCACAGCUAGAAGAGCUUAAGCUGCCUACAGACGGUCAACACCAUCCCAGCCCAGCCAGCCACCAGAAAGCAGCGGCUUCAUCCUCUGACCUUCUCCUGACUUUGGGACUCUGUAGGGAUCAAAAGUGCUGUACUGGACUCUGCUGGUUCUUGUUGCUUUUUCUUCUGAAAGUUCUGCCAGGCUGUCUAACUUUCCAGGGGAGCACCCCCAAAUCCAGCUGGGAGCUGUGCUCCCAACACAAAGGGAAGCCACGCAGAAUCCCCAAGAGCAGUGAAGCUGAACACCCUAAAUGGGGCUGUGAAUAACUGUGUGUGCCAGUGUACAAGUCUGCUCUCCAUCGAUGGGGAAAGAAAGGAGGCCGCACGCUUCUCCUGGAACACGGCAGGUCCAGCCUCCCCUGCUCCACGGACUGCUGUGGCUCCACAGCGCCUCCAGGAUCAACGAAGUCCUCUGUUUGACGUUUAAAGCCUUUCACACCCUGACUCUCUCCCUCCAGGCCGGCCGUUUCUCACAUGUCACUUCAUCUCUUUGCUUAGCCUUUGCAUAGGCUGCCCCUUCAAGACUCAGUAGAAACACCACCUUGUGAAUGAGGUCUUUCCUGAUUGCACCAGCUGCUAGUGCCUCUCCCCACAAAUUACCUUGCAUUUAUUUAUUACUCAAUCACUGACUGUAUAUUUUGUAUAUGUUAGGUGUAGACCUUGUUUUUUGGGGAACCAAUAUGGUGCUGCGCACAGAGUGCCGGGCCUGGAGUCUGGGAGACUCCUCUUCCUGUGUUCAAAUCUGACAUCAGAUACUUACUAGCUGGGUG